rnacentral:rRNA from 2 species
UUGGCCUCAAAUCGGGUGAGACUACCCGCUGAACUUAAGC